GUCUAAGGCCAUGCCACCCUGAACAAGCCUGAUCUCAUCUGAUCUUGGAAGCUAAGCAGGGUAGGGCCUGGUUAGUACUUGGAUGGGAGACCACCUAGGAAGACCAGGUGCUGCAGGUG
rnacentral:rRNA from 1 species